rnacentral:rRNA from 1 species
GUACGUUGACUCCGUGGCUACAGGACACGCUGGCGGCACGCUUAACACAUGCAAGUCGAACGGACUUGAGAGGGCUUGCUCUCUUAAGUUAGUGGCGGACGGGUGAGUAACACGUGAGCAACCUGCCUUUAAGAGUGGGAUAACGGUCGGAAACGACCGCUAAUACCGCAUAACAUACACGAACCGCAUGGUUUGUGUAUCAAAGAUUUAUCGCUUAAAGAUGGGCUCGCGUCUGAUUAGCUUGUUGGUGAGGUAACGGCUCACCAAGGCGACGAUCAGUAGCCGUACUGAGAGGUAGAACGGCCACAUUGGGACUGAGACACGGCCCAGACUCCUACGGGAGGCAGCAGUGGGGAAUAUUGCACAAUGGAGGAAACUCUGAUGCAGCGAUGCCGCGUGAGGGAAGAAGGCUUUCGGAUUGUAAACCUCUGUCUUAAGGGACGAUAAUGACGGUACCUUAGGAGGAAGCUCCGGCUAACUACGUG